UCACAGGCAAAUCCGUGUGGCAAUACGAAGGCGUGACGCGGACCGAAAUAAAGUAGGGAAGCAUGUGAGCCAUGUGCCAAGAAAAGCCGCUAUAGAUCAUAUCGUACCCGUACCGUAAACCGACACAGGUAGAUGAGGAGAGAAUCCUAAGGCCGACGGGAGAAGCAUUGUUAAGGAACUCGGCAAAAUGACCCCGUAACUUCGGGAGAAGGGGUGCCCACGCGAGUGGGCCGCAGAGAAUAGGCUCAAGCAACUGUUUAGCAAAAACACAGGUCUAUGCGAAACCGAAAGGUGAGGUAUAUGGGCUGACGCCUGCCCGGUGCUGGAAGGUUAAGAGGAGGAGUCAGGCAACGAAGCUCCGAAUUUAAGCCCCAGUAAACGGCGGCCGUAACAAUAACGGUCCUAAGGUAGCGAAAUUCCUUGUCGGGUAAGUUCCGACCCGCACGAAAGGCGUAAUGAUUUGAGCACUGUCUCGACAAUGCACCCGGUGAAAUUGAAGUACCAGUGAAGAUGCUGGUUACCUGCGCCAGGACGGAAAGACCCCAUGGAGCUUUACUCCAGUUUGAUACUGGGAUUCGAUACUGAAUGUACAGGAUAGGUGGGAGGCUGAGAAGCGUGGACGCCAGUCUGCGGUGAGCCGCUGUUGGGAUACCACCCUUUGAGUAUUGGAUUUCUAACCUGCGCCCGUGACCCGGGCGGGGGACAAUGUCUGACGGGGAGUUUGACUGAGGCGGUCGCCUCCGAAAGGGUAUCGGAGGCGCUCAAAGGUUCCCUCAGAAUGGUUGGAAACCAUUCGCAGAGUGCAAAGGCAGAAGGGAGCUUGACUGUGACACCGACGGGUGGAGCAGGUACGAAAGUAGGACUUAGUGAUCCGGUGGUAUGAAAGUGGGAUUGCCAUCGCUCAACGGAUAAAAGCUACCCUGGGAUAACAGGCUUAUCACUCCCAAGAGUUCACAUCGACGGAGUGGUUUGGCACCUCGAUGUCGGCUCAUCGCAUCCUGGGGCUGUAGCAGGUCCCAAGGGUUGGGCUGUUCGCCCAUUAAAGCGGUACGCGAGCUGGGUUCAGAACGUCGUGAGACAGUUCGGUCCCUAUCCGGCGCAGGCGUAGGAUAUUUGAGAGGAGCUGUCCUUAGUACGAGAGGACCGGGAUGGACAGACCGCUGGUGUAUCUGUUGGUGACCAACACCAUGGCAGAGUAGCCAAGUCUGGCAGGGAUAAACGCUGAAGGCAUCUAAGCGUGAAGCCCCCCUCAAGAUGAGAUAUCCCAAUAAGUAAGACCCCUUAGAGAGUAUGAGGUAGAUAGGCUUAAGGUGUAAGCAUAGUAAUAUGUUCAGCUGAUAAGUACUAAUAGGUCGAGGGCUUAUC
rnacentral:rRNA from 1 species